rnacentral:rRNA from 1 species
CUCCUUCGGGGGGCUUACGUGGCGGUACGGGUGAGGAACACGUGGGCAAACUGCCCUGAGGUGGGGGGUAGCCGCCGGAAACGGUGGGUAAUUCCGCAUGAGCUCAUUGCGUAGUAGGCGUGAUGAGGAAAGGGUCUUCGGACUCGCCUUGGGAGGUGCCUGCGGCCGAUUAGCUAGUUGGUGGGGUAACGGCUUACCAAGGCGAUGAUCGGUAGCUGGUCUGAGAGGACGGCCAGCCACACGGGGACUGAGACACGGCCCCGACUCCUACGGGAGGCAGCAGCAAGGAAUUUUCCGCAAUGGGCGAAAGCCUGACGGAGCAACGCCGCGUGCGGGAGGACGCCUUUCGGGGUGUAAACCGCUUUUCUUGGGGAUGACGACCGACAGUACCCGAGGAAGAAGGACCGGCUAACUACGUGCCAGCAGCCGCGGUAAUACGUAGGGUCCGAGCGUUGUCCGGAGUUACUGGGCGUAAAGCGCGCGCAGGCGGCUCGUCAAGUCUGGCGUGAAAGCCCCCGGCUCAACCGGGGAGGGUCGUCGGAGACUGGCGAGCUUGAGGGCGGUAGGGGCUGGUGGAAUUCCCGGUGUAGUGGUGAAAUGCGUAGAGAUCGGGAGGAACACCCGUGGCGAAAGCGGCCAGCUGGGCCGUCCCUGACGCUGAGGCGCGAAAGCGUGGGGAGCGAACGGGGAUUAGAUACCCCCGGUAGUCCACGCAGUAAA